UUUGUUAAAAACAAAAUUCAGAAUGAGGGGAUAUGUACAUACAUGUACAACAAUUCACCCACUGUCUUCUUUAACUGACUAAUUUGUUGGAUGGGAUAAAUUGUUGAGGACUGGUUCUAAAGAAAACAUGAUUCAUCCAUUAUGGGGGCCAAUCUUUGUCAACGAGUGAUUUCAAUAUUGGACGUGUCUUGUUAUUUAGAUAUUGGUGAUGGACUGAGAUCAAAAGCACAAGAUGUUCAUUCAAUAAGGAAACUUAAUCUAUUUCUGUAACGAAUUUUGCCUAUUUGUGGUUAUAUGCCACUCAGAAAACGUUCAGGAAGAAGUGAGGAAUUAACCAGACAUGUGUCACAUGUGACAGGAAGUUAUUGAUGCUGGAGACACACUGGGGUUUAUCAACAGAACCCACAUAUACACAAAAAGUUAAUUAUUUUGAUGGUUUGCCAAUUAAAACUACAGUCACAUGAUAGAUAAUUGCUGGACAGGAUAUGUAUAUAUAUUAAAUGUGUGUUUUGACUGGAUUGUCCAUAAUUGUACUCAAUAAGGAUUAAAGAGGCCCUCCUUAUGAAUUGUGAUUGGAUUAAACAUUUUCGUAAAAUGAGUUGUGUGUUCAAUUCUUUAUAAUUAACUUUCAGCAGUACAGCUUAUCAGUGCAGUAAGUAUAAACAAUAUACAGAUAUGUGAACAGGAGAGUGUGACAGAGGUGUAUGUAUGAUGUCAACAUCUAUACUUGCCUUUUAUAAAUAAAUCUUGUCUUAUUUUCUAUCUAAAGUGAAUAAAUUUUCCCCAAUUACAUAACUUUUAUACACUUUCAGCAUUAAAAAGCUAAUUAAAACUAUUUUAAACUAUUAAAAAAUAGUUUAGACAUUGAAGGUUUUUUUUUCAGCAAUAAGGCUUAAUGUAUUCUUGGCGAUAGACUUCGCAUACAGGACAUAUUAAAGUAAAAUGAAAUUCAUCAUCAAUAUAAUAUGAACACAGAAACGACUUUCGACCUUGUCCAUUAAUGUUACUAAAUUGACUGGUUUCUUUUGCUAAUUGAUGUGUAGACAAUCUGAAUCUUGAAAUACAUUUUUGAUAUAAAUUAAAUUGUAAAUGAAAUUAUAGAAGAUGGGUUGCAAUUUGGUGUUUGAAAAGUGCAUUUACUAGAGCUAUCUGGUUGAGAAAUAAUGUCCUGUCUAGCUUGAUCAAAAAUAUGUUGUUUGACAAUAAAGAAACCUGCAGCUUUUUUGUUUUCCCACAAUUCAAACAUACCCAGAUUGCAUAAAAAAUCUUUAACAUUGAACAGUCUGUUUUUUGCAUCAUGUUUUUCAACACAUUCAUAUAGUGUCAUAUAGUGUAUCAUUGCAAUGUUGAUAAUACAAUAAAAUAAAAAUUAUUCU
rnacentral:sRNA from 1 species